rnacentral:tRNA from 1 species
UUUAUUGUAGCUUAAAUCCUACUAAAGCGGAGCACUGAAGUUGCCCCGAUGGAAGCCCUCCCUUCCCAAAAACA